CACAGGGAUACUCAUAAGCUCAUGACAAAUGAUACUUUUCACCAAUCCAAAAAGUAUUUUUAUUUUAAUAAAACCAGUAAUUAUAGUUAAAACUUUCUUUAGUGAUAAAUCUAUAUGCCAAUGAACAAUUUUAGUAGCAUGGAGAAAAAUCUGACAUAGAUACAAUGCACAGGAUCCCACACUCAUAAUCAGGUCAUUUUUCAUAAAUAACAACAAAAAAAAUAAAAUUCAUUCCUCCAUUCCACUAAGCCACUCUAUAUAUCCAAUGCUUUUGCUAUUUCUGUUUUUCUUCUCUUCAUAAAAAAAGACAGGUGGUAUAAAGCAUAUCUUGUAGGCUUCCUCUCUUACAUAUACCAAAAACUAUUCAUCUUGUCAAACAAAAAGGAAAAAGCAGAAAAUUAAAAGCAUAGUGUAGUUUGGCUUUUAUCAAAAUCAUAAGACAUAAGCAAUGUUCCACAUAUAUGAAACCUAUCAUUAUCCAAGGUAAUUUAUUUAAUUAACAGCACACUUGACCGUGAUAUUAUAGUGAUUCUAUUCCCCAUCUUCCUUUUUUCCUCCCUAAAACAUUAUACCAUGAACUGGCAACAAAUAAAUUUUUAACACACCUACUAGCAGUAAAAGAAUAGGCUUCCACGCGCCUAGAUGGUUGAAAUUAACAGACAUCGGCAUCACAUUCAAAGCUUCAUUACAAAUGUAAACUGCAUGCAAAAAUCAAGAGUGUAAUUACUUAUUUCUCAUGCACGUAACGAAGGGAUUGCUCCAAUUAAAGAAAUGUACAUACCAAAAAGUCCCUGUUUUAACCUUAGUCUAACUAGGUGUGUUGGGAUUACCUGAACAAGUAGGUUACUACUCUUGUACAAAAUACUAACAAACACAAGGCAUAGACCACCAAAAUAUAAGAAAACUGAAUUAACCAGGGCACAAUUCAGUUGAACAAUUAAUAAAUAAGAGAACAUUAAGACACCUAGAGGGGACAACAACCUGAGGGCCAGAUUUGGUAAACA
rnacentral:misc_RNA from 1 species